AUAUGGAUUGUGUCAGCAGCCGCGCGGUAAUACGAAAGGGACCUAGCGUAGUUCGGAAUUACUGGGCUUAAAGAGUUUGUAGGUGGUUAAAAAAAGUUGGUGGUGAAAUCCCAGAGCUUAACUCUGGAACUGCCAUCAAAACUUUUUAGCUAGAGUUUGAUAGAGGAAAGCAGAAUUUCUAGUGUAGAGGUGAAAUUCGUAGAUAUUAGAAAGAAUACCGAUUGCGAAGGCAGCUUUCUGGAUCAAUACUGACACUGAGGAACGAAAGCAUGGGUAGCGAAGAGGAUUAGAUACCCUCGUAGUCCAUGCCGUAAACGAUGUGUGUUAGAUGUUGGAAAUUUAUUUUCAGUAUCGCAGCGAAAGCAUUAAACACACCGCCUGGGGAGUACGACCGCAAGGUUAAAACUCAAAUGAAUUGACGGGGACCCGCACAAGUAGUGGAGCAUGUGGUUUAAUUCGAAGAUACGCGCAGAACCUUACCAACACUUGACAUGUUUGUCGCGACUUUAAGAGAUUAAAGUCUUCGGUUCGGCCGGACAAAACACAGGUGCUGCAUGGCUGUCGUCAGCUCGUGUCGUGAGAUGUUGGGUUAAGUCCCGCAACGAGCGCAACCCUCACUUUUAGUUGCCACCAUUUAGUUGGGCACUCUGAAAGGACUGCCAGUGAUAAGCUGGAGGAAGGUGGGGAUGACGUCAAGUCCUCAUGGCCCUUACGUGUUGGGCUACACACGUGCUACAAUGGCAUUUACAAUAGGAUGCAAGAUGGCGACAUUGAGCAAAUCCUAAAAAGAUGCCUCAGUUCGGAUUGUACUCUGCAACUCGAGUACAUGAAGCUGGAAUUACUAGUAAUCGCGGAUCAGCGCGCCGCGGUGAAUACGUUCCCGGGUCUUGCACACACCGCCCGUCA
rnacentral:rRNA from 1 species